rnacentral:tRNA from 2 species
GUUCAACCCCCUCCUCUGCUA